CAGAGCUUGAUGUCUCUCCAUGGAGUUGUAGUCGUAAACGUAAAAUCACUUUAACUUUUAGCCACCGGCUCUGAUUCUGGUGAAACUAGACCAACUCAUGCAGGUUCUCCAGAACCUCCUCCAGCUCAGACUCCAACUGGGCCCCCGGGCGAGAUCAGUCCACCACGCGCAGACCAGGAUCCGGCUUCAGCCUCGGCCUGAAGACUUGGACUCUGCAGUAGAAGGAGAGGUUUUCUGAAGGGACCCUGGUGUAGGAGGCACUACUACUAGUAGGAGGACUACUUUAGUCCUGAGGCCUAAAGGCAACAGGUGGAGUAACAUGUUUUGUUGAAGACGACCUGGAGAGUCACGUCUUUGUGUGUGGAAGUCGCUGGUUGCUUUAUUUAUUGAUCAUAGACUUUAUUGCCCCGUGCAUCCACACUGCUGCUCUUCAUCACGGACACAUUUGUCCCGUAUUUUCCUCCACGACUUUGUUCCCCUCGUUUGUGGAGAUCUCCCUCCAUGAAUCAGAGGCCAUCCGGCGUCCUCAUAGUCCGCCAAUGACGGCUCGUACAAGCGCUCAUGUUUCCAUAAUUCUUCAGACAAAAGCUCUUCAAUCGGAUCCGUUCUCUCGUAAAGCAAGAGACACGCAAGGGACACGCAAGGGACACGCAAGGGACUCUUGCGUGUCCCUUGCGUCUCUCUGAAAACCAGGCUUAAUUCAUCACGCGAUGAGCGUUCUCUGCGUGGUGUCUGUGGCUCAGUGGGGACGGCGGGUCCUCCGUGGACCAGAAGGUCUGUGGUGUGAUCCUGGUCUCACACUGUCUACAUGCUCAAACCAGCCUGUCCCUCCAUAAUGAUUAUCACAACUUGUGGCCCGUAACUACAGGUGUAACGCCUCGUCGCCUCACGUGUCACAACAUCGAUUACCAAUGUCACGUAACUUACGAUGUCAUUUUAUAUAUUAUAACAUUUCUAUCGGUAGAUAUUAGAGUGAAUUAUAUUACUUAAUGUUACAUUUAAAAGUGAACUCUUCCCUGCUGUCGGAUCACCCGCCUCCCUGAAUAAAUAAUUUAGCAUUUUGUUAAUGACUGUGACUGCCUCUUUUUGGGGAUUUUGCUCGUUCCCGGUUGGAGUUGUUUUGAGUUUCUUUUUGUUCACCAGUAAAAAAAAC
ensembl:lncRNA